UUUUGGUAAAUCACCCUGUAGCUCUCGCCUGGUUUCCCACUGAAGCGAAGCAGGGUUGAGACUGGCCAGUACCUGGAUGGGUGACCUCCUGGGGAAAACUAAGACAUUCAGGAA
rnacentral:rRNA from 1 species